UAUUGGACAAUGGGCGCAAGCCUGAUCCAGCAAUGCCGUGUGUGUGAAGAAGGCCUUCGGGUUGUAAAGCACUUUUAGUGGGGAAGAAAGUCUUAAGAUUAAUAAUCUUGAGAAUUGACGUUACCCACAGAAAAAGCACUGGCUAACUCUGUGCCAGCAGCCGCGGUAAUACAGAGAGUGCGAGCGUUAAUCGGAAUUACUGGGCGUAAAGCGUACGUAGGUGGAUGUUUAAGUCAGAUGUGAAAGCCCCGAGCUUAACUUGGAAUUGCAUUUAUACUGGGCGUCAGAGAAGAGAGGGAAGUGAAUUUCUGGUGAGCGGUAAAUGCGAGUUCAGAGAACAUCAGUGCAAAGCGCUUCCUGGCAAUCUGACUUCAUCAGAUAG
rnacentral:rRNA from 1 species